rnacentral:RNase_P_RNA from 1 species
UGAAGUAGCGCAGACUGUCGCGUUGGCUUGCCAAUGAGGAAAGUCCGGGCACCGCAGGGCUGGUUGCUGGGUAAUGCCCAGUGCGCGUGAGCGUGAGGAUAGUGCCACAGAAAUGAUGACCGCCUGCGCAAGCAGGCAAGGGUGCAACGGUGCGGUAAGAGCGCACCAGCAGAGUCGAGAGGCUCUGGCUAGGUAAACCCCGCUAAAGGUGCAAGGCGAAGGUAUAGAUCGAGUAAGCGGCUGCCCGUCGUCUCGUUCUGCCGAUGCCGCUAGAGGGGGCGAGAGAUCGCUCUCCCAGAUAGAUGACGGUCAAAUACAGAACCCGGCUUAUACGCUACUUCACCUU